rnacentral:lncRNA from 1 species
CUAUUCUGGCGAAUGGUGCUUGUUUAAAAAAGUUGUGAGGUCGUUUAAUAAAGUUGAAGAAAAGGGCUUUUUCUGAGUGGCUGUCAAUAUAAUAUCAUAGAAUAACGUUACUGUAAGACAAAAACACGACCUAAUUUGUUAUGAAAUUUUUGGAUAAUUGUGCGAAUGGUUGCCUUUUUCUCUCAUGCGGCGAAAACUCAACAGGACGUGGCACUAGGCAAAAUAUUUGCUUUGAUUGAAACAAAACACAGUGGAGAGGAUGGAGGAGAUUGGAAAGAAUAUUGCAGAAGGAAGAAAAAGGAUGGGGUUCCACAUGCCCCCCUUCUCCUCAGUCCCUCACCUCCAUCUCCACGUCAUCGCUCCUGCCAGUCAGAUGAGCAUCAGGUCACUCAGUCACUAUGGGCCGCAAUCCUAUUGGUUCAUUACCAUGGACAGAAUGGUUCAGCAGCUGAGGACCCAUAACCAGGUCAAAUAAGAAUAUACCUGGUUUAGCAGGACACAACAGCACUGGGCUUCCAAGAUCCAUGUCACAACUCUGACAUGGCUGGCAGUGGCUGCAUUCCCGCCUUAUACUUGACAUGCACGGUCACUAAUCUGAAGGACUGGUUUAGUUCUAUUUAUGUUUUUACUAAGCCUCUGUAUUUUUGUAAGUUCUGAUGGGGUGUUACGAUAUGCAUUUAUUAUUAUACACUAAGGGAUAGUACACUAAGGGGGGGGGGGGGGCUUGUACAACUCAAGGUGUCAAAAACAACAAAAAAUGCACCGCUCUCCCCAAUGUAAAAAAUAUUUUCACUUGACACUCCCCUUGUACUGUAAAACAAAAAUUGCACACCCUCCCCCCUCAUAGAAUUAACUCUAAAGAAUGUUUACGACCAGAAAUAACAAUAACUGUAGUGACCUUGUGUUUAUAAACAUGGAUAUCGACUUUGCCCCUUCAUGCUUUUCUGGCACAGCCGAUGCCACGCAGGGCUACGGGCCAGAAGGUUAGGCUACCACCACGGACGAGCUCACUCUCCCUGUACAAAACAUUAAGAACACCUUCCUAAUAUUGAAUUGCCCUCAGAACAAUUCGUCGGGGCAUGGAUUCUACAAGGUCUCAAAAGCGUUCCACAAGGAUGGUGGCCCAUGUUGACUCCAAUGCUUCCCACAGUUGUGUCAAGUUGGCUGGAUGUGCAUUGGGUGGUGGACCAUUCUUGAUACACACGAGAAACUGUUGAGUGUGAAAAACCCAGCAGCAUUGCAGUUCUUGACACAAACCGGUGCGCCUGGCACCUACUACCAUACCCUGUUCAAAGGCACUUAAAUCUUCUGUCUUGCCCAUUCAUUCUCUGAAUGGCACACAUACACAAUCCAUGUCUCAAGGCUUACAAAUCCUUCUUUAACCUGUCUCAUCCCCUCCUACUUCAUCUACACUGAUUUGAAGUGGAUUUAACAACUGACAUCAAUAAGGGAUCAUAGCUUUCACCUGGAUUCGCCUAGUCAGUCUGUGUCAUGGAAAGAGCAGGUGUUCUUAAUGUUUUGUACAUUUUUGCAACAGGUUUCUGUGCCAAUACACCACACAACCAAUAAACAAAGCAUACCGACUUUGGGCACUUUAAUAUCAUGGUUUGCGUUUUCAACGCCACAAUAAAUCUCGACAAACAGAAAAUACAUCCCUGACUACCUGGUAGGCCUACCCAGUAUCGAAGGCUUGACUUGACAAUCUCAGAAUGGCAUUAAACUUUUUCAUCAAAUGGUUGCUACACAGUUUGGAUUGAUUCAUUUUAUUUGUCAGUAAAACAAAAUACAUACAGUACAAAGAUUUUUAAAAGGGACUGGGAUUGUGCAAUAAAGUUGGGGAGUUAUUUCCAUUGUGGUCCCUAUUUUAUAGAUAAAUGCAUAUACAAUUACAUAGAUAUAGACACAUUACAGAUAUCCAGACACAUUACAUAAUAGACACAUUACAUAAUACAGACACAUUACAGAAAUACAGAUAUACAGACACAUUACAG